rnacentral:rRNA from 1 species
GUGCCAGCCGCCGCGGUAAUACGGAGGGUGCAAGCGUUAAUCGGAAUUACUGGGCGUAAAGCGAGUGUAGGCGGCGACGUUAGUCGGAUGUGAAAGCCCCGGGCUUAACCUGGGAAUUGCAUUCGAUACUGCGUGGCUAGAGUCUGAUAGAGGGAAGUGGAAUUCCGGGUGUAGCGGUGAAAUGCGUAGAUAUCCGGAGGAACACCAGUGGCGAAGGCGGCUUCCUGGAUCAAGACUGACGCUGAGGCUCGAAAGCGUGGGGAGCAAACAGGAUUAGAUACCCUGGUAGUCCACGCCCUAAACGAUGUCAACUAGACGUUGGGUUCAUUAAGGAACUUAGUGUCGAAGCUAACGCCGUAAGUUGACCGUCUGGGGAGUACGGCCGCAAGGUUGAAACUC